rnacentral:rRNA from 1 species
UACGUAGGGGGCGAGCGUUGUCCGGAUUUAUUGGGCGUAAAGAGCGUGUAGGCGGUUCGGUAAGUCUGUCGUGAAAUCCUGAGGCUCAACCUCGGGCGUGCGAUGGAUACUGCCGGGCUAGAGGAUGGUAGAGGCGAGUGGAAUUCCCGGUGUAGCGGUGAAAUGCGCAGAUAUCGGGAGGAACACCGAUGGCGAAGGCAGCUCGCUGGGACGGUACUGACACUGAGGCGCGAAAGCGUGGGGAGCGAACAGG